AAUAGUCUAACGACUGAACCAGCAACUUGGAAGAAUGUAUAACGGAUAAGUCGUAUAAAAUUCUAGAUAAAGACAAUAUAAUGAAAAAUCUUUAUCUAUAAGUCUUGGCCAAAUUACGUGCCAGCAGUCGCGGUAAUACGUAAAAGACUAGUGUUAUUCAUCUUUAAUAGGUUUAUAGGGUACCUAGACUGAAAACCAAGCCUUAAUAGGGACUAGUUUUCUAGAGUUUUAUGUGAGAAAGUUGAACGAUCAGAGGAGAGUCAAAAUUCGUUAAUACUGGUAAGACGGACCACGGCGAAGGCUGUUUUCUAUGUAAAAACUGACGUUGAGGUACGAAGCCCAGGGUAGCAAGAAGGAUUAGAUACCCUAGUAGUCCUGGGAGAAAAUUAUGAGUGCCAUAGAUUAGAUAUAUAAUUAAUCUAUAAAUGAAAGUGUAAGCAUUCCACCUCAUGAGUAAAGCGGCAACGCCCAAAUUGAAAUCAUUAGACCGUUUCUGAAACCAGUAGUGAAGUAUGUUAUUUAAUUCGAUGACCCGCGAAAAACCUUACCACACUUUGAAUAUUGUUCAAUUUUUACAAGCGCUGCACGGCUGUCUUCAGUUGAUAUCGUGAGAUUUUGGUUAAUUCCUUUAAUUAACGAAAACCCUUGUUUUAUUUUUUUUAAUAAAACGGUUCACCAUUUAUACAGGAGAAGAUAAUAGGGACCAAGACAAGUCAUUAUGGCCUUAAUAGU
rnacentral:rRNA from 1 species